rnacentral:rRNA from 1 species
UACGAAGGGGGCUAGCGUUGUUCGGAAUUACUGGGCGUAAAGCGUGCGCAGGCGGCUUCUCAAGUCAGGGGUGAAAGCCCAGAGCUCAACUCUGGAACUGCCUUUGAGACUGAGAGGCUUGAGUACGGGAGAGGUGAGUGGAAUUCCCAGUGUAGAGGUGAAAUUCGUAGAUAUUGGGAAGAACACCGAUGGCGAAGGCAGCCAUCUGGACCGACACUGACGCUGAGGCGCGAAAGCGUGGGGAGCAAACAGG